GUAUAGCCCCGAUAGAAGUGGAAAUCCUUUUGUGGUGGCGUUCACCACAAAAGAUUGAAACGGAUAGCGGGACGUCAC
rnacentral:sRNA from 1 species